GACGAACGCUGGCGGCGUGCUUAACACAUGCAAGUCGAGCGGUAAGGCCUCUUCGGGGGUACACGAGCGGCGAACGGGUGAGUAACACGUGGGUGACCUGCCCUCAGCUCUGGGAUAAGCCUGGGAAACUGGGUCUAAUACCGGAUAUGACCUUUCCUCGCAUGGGGUUUGGUGGAAAGUUUUUUCGGCUGGGGAUGGGCCCGCGGCCUAUCAGCUUGUUGGUGGGGUGAUGGCCUACCAAGGCGACGACGGGUAGCCGGCCUGAGAGGGCGACCGGCCACACUGGGACUGAGACACGGCCCAGACUCCUACGGGAGGCAGCAGUGGGGAAUAUUGCGCAAUGGGCGGGAGCCUGACGCAGCGACGCCGCGUGGGGGAUGACGGCCUUCGGGUUGUAAACCUCUUUCGACCCCGACGAAUUUUGACGGUAGGGGUAGAAGAAGCACCGGCCAACUACGUG
rnacentral:rRNA from 1 species